UACGGGGGGGGCAAGCGUUGUUCGGAAUUACUGGGCGUAAAGGGCUCGUAGGCGGCCAACUAAGUCAGACGUGAAAUCCCUCGGCUUAACCGGGGAACUGCGUCUGAUACUGGAUGGCUUGAGUUUGGGAGAGGGAUGCGGAAUUCCAGGUGUAGCGGUGAAAUGCGUAGAUAUCUGGAGGAACACCGGUGGCGAAGGCGGCUCUCUGGUACAUGAUUGACGCUGAGGAGCGAAAGCAUGGGGAGCGAACAGG
rnacentral:rRNA from 1 species